GAUGAACGCUGGCGGCGUGCCUAAUACAUGCAAGUCGAGCGAACAGACGAGGAGCUUGCUCCUCUGACGUUAGCGGCGGACGGGUGAGUAACACGUGGAUAACCUACCUAUAAGACUGGGAUAACUUCGGGAAACCGGAGCUAAUACCGGAUAAUAUAUUGAACCGCAUGGUUCAAUAGUGAAAGACGGUUUUGCUGUCACUUAUAGAUGGAUCCGCGCCGCAUUAGCUAGUUGGUAAGGUAACGGCUUACCAAGGCAACGAUGCGUAGCCGACCUGAGAGGGUGAUCGGCCACACUGGAACUGAGACACGGUCCAGAAUCCUACGGGAGGCAGCAGUAGGGAAUAUUCCGCAAUGGGCGAAAGCCUGACGGAGCAACGCCGCGUGAGUGAUGAAGGUCUUCGGAUCGUAAAACUCUGUUAUUAGGGAAGAACAAAUGUGUAAGUAACUAUGCACGUCUUGACGGUACCUAAUCAGAAAGCCACGGCUAACUACGUG
rnacentral:rRNA from 1 species